rnacentral:RNase_P_RNA from 1 species
GCCGCAGACCGCCUUAUCGUCGUCUCAAUUUAUUGGGAGGGAGGAAAGUCCGGACACCAUAGAGAAGCAUAGCGGGUAACACCCGUCGGGGUUAGCAAUAACUUCAGGACAAGUGCAACAGAAAGUAUGUACAGGUAAUGCUGUAGUGAAACCAGGUAAACUCUAUGCGGUGAAAUACCAAGUAUAUCAGCAUUUAAGGGCUUCUCGUCCGUUGUUGAAGGGUAGGUAGCUUGAGUUCCGAAGUAAUUCGGAAUCUAGAUAAAUGAUAAGGCUCUGAUUUAUCAGAGACAGAAUCCGGCUUACAGGUCUGCAUUUUUU